GAUUGCGGAAUUUUGGAACAGUUGCUUUUACUGUUCUGUGUUCUUAUUUUGUCAGGGCCAGCCGUGAAGUCUCUGACGCGUGUAUGUCUUGAAUUGCGGAACGCCAACGGCCUUCCACGUCUUCUUGCUCACGCACAUACCUGCAUGCAAGGGAGAAGGUGCGUGAGGACACAGACCAUGUGCCUUCUACAGUUGAGGAAAUGGCCAGAGGGAAACGCCAUCAAAAUGAAGCUCCGGAGUGCCAAGAUUCCAGCAAGAAGACCUGCUGAAGAAGCUAGCCCAGCAGCCUGUUUUCGUACACAAGGAGCCCACAAGAAUUUUAGUGCCUUCAGUGCGCCAAAAGCCAAGUUGAAAUUAGAAAUGGAGGAAGGACGCAAUCUGUUUGGCAUCAUGGAGAGACAGCAUACCCGAGAAAGCAUGUCGAGAACAUCAGGUCAAGUUUUAUCCGCUGUUCCAAGUCUGCAACUGCAUUCACCGAAGACUACAGUGCAUACAACUCAAGUGGGCAGAGCUUCUGCGUACCCUGCCUCAUGACAAAACUAACAUUGUGGGCUUUUUCUAUAUAAAGUAAUAUAAGACUGAGGACCACUGUUAAGCUGAGAAAACUCGUGUGUUGAUUGCAGUAAAUAGUGUUGACCAUUGGUGAGAUUGGACACCUCUCAGGAUUAGUGAAAACACGAGUACCAGACUUUUUUGUGAAGGUGAAUCUAGAAACAAUGAAAACUGUUAACCUCAUCUUGUUUUUUUAAACUGCGUGAUGAUGGAAAGUUGACUCAUCAUGCCUAGCCUUUUUGUCGUAGGACAUGCAAUUCUGUUUUUAGUUGUAAAUAAGCUUUAAUUUUUGCAGCUAUUUCAGCAAUGUGCAGAACUGGGCUAGUUGGUAUGCGUUUGUAAGGGAAUUGAACAGUGCUAUCGAACAGACGAGGUCUGCCUGUCUUCACUUUGUCGAGUCUGCAGCUAGGCCUAAUUCCGUUCCGAGUUAUUUCCUUGUAAUUACUCGUCAAAUGUACAAGGUUUCACUUGUGUUUCCUCACCAAAGUGAAGGCAACGUCUGAUGUAUCUCGCGCAAGAUUUAUAGUGCUUUAGUAAUUUAUUAUUUUGUGUAACUUAUUGAUGUGUUCAUCGCUUAUUGGUGACCUUUAUGUUUUAUUGCUUGUAUGUGGCUGCUUUUUGCCCACAUUUAGUUUGUGGGAUCUUGCUGGUCACUUGCUGGUCACUUGACGGCCGUUUGCCGCGACGCCGCAGAUCUUGGAAAUCCCACUCUUGUUUCUCGAUUGCACGAAGCCCUACCGUUAUCCUGUUCCAUUGCAAGUGAAUACGCUUGAGGGCAGCGCAUUAUACUGCAUGUUUCUGCGACGUAGGCUUCAAUCAAAUGGCUGUACCUCCCCUCGCUGUACAGACUAAUUAAUCGCCAUGCUGCCUCCUCUUCUCGGCACCGUCGCAGCACGUAAAAAAGCUUUCGCGUUGUUGAAAUCAAGCAUGUGAUCACGACCGAAGUUCAUAUCUUCACCGGUUACCAAGCCGUCUCCUGUUCGCUGUGCACCGUGGCCUGAUGAGGCAGGCCAGAUAAACCCUCUGUCUCGUUGGAAUCACCUCGGCGGAAGGUGCGGGUUGGCCGAGAAGUAAAGCUUCCGGACGCGGCAGGGGCAUCGUAAUAUCCAGACCAUCUGCGGAGGAGGCGGCGGCCUUGGACGCGUCACUUGCCCGCUCUCUCCGCCCACUACCCGAAUCCAAAGAUUCGUCUCCGUGACAUAUCAAGCUGUUAGUCAGUGGCAAAACUCCUUCCAAAAGAAGUAACGUUUUCCGACUCACCCACGACGUCAGUGACUCCAGAUCG